rnacentral:rRNA from 1 species
UACGGAGGGUGCAAGCGUUAAUCGGAAUUACUGGGCGUAAAGCGUGCGCAGGCGGUUUGUUAAGUCUGCUGUGAAAUCCCCGAGCUCAACUUGGGAAUUGCAGUGGAUACUGGCAAGCUGGAGUACGGUAGAGGAAGGUGGAAUUCCCGGUGUAGCAGUGAAAUGCGUAGAGAUCGGGAGGAACACCAGUGGCGAAGGCGGCCUUCUGGACCAGUACUGACGCUCAUGCACGAAAGCGUGGGGAGCA